UAGAAGGGGUGGAAAGGGGGGAAACGAGAGGCGUUAGGGUUUCCAGCGACGGGUAAGUGGAGAUCGUAGCCGUGGGUCUGGCGAAGGAGAAGUGAAGCAGAGACAGUGGUGCGGCGGGGCGCACUGGCAAGCAGCGUGCAUCCCGCAUGAUCAUUGAUCGGGUCGCCGCUCUCAGAGCAUCUCCGCUAGAGACGGGCUGAGCGACCGAAACGACGCCACCGAACAGCACGGCCAUGAGCACCGGGGCGUUUUGCCUGUUUGUUUUAUCCGCGGCGUUUCUCGCCGGGCUGCAGUGCGCAUCGCAGAAGAGCUCGAUGGGGAUCGGGGUAACCCUACCCAGCACGGCGCUGGCAGGCAGCGGGGAGGCCAGCGGGAAAAAAGACGCCAACCAGACGCACACCUCCAGACGCAAGAGGAAGAACCUGUCCGUGGAUUUCGCCGUUCCCUCUCUCUUAAGAAACUACCUGUCUGAAUUCAUAAAGCGCCCGCUGAACGGCGACUGUCAGCAUGCAGACGGAUGCUACGCGGUGCGGGCAAACUUAAGGAUGCAGUGCGUCCCCCUGCAAAAGACAGUCUCCAGUUUGUUGGAGACCAAGCUGAGCGCCGCCGACUCCCCCGACAAUGUUUCAGCCGCCGGACAGCUCCCGUACAGGAACAAGCGGCCGCUGUCCAGGGUCCUGAAUUUCGCGCUGACCAAGGACAGUAGGAAAUCCAAUCAGGUGGUUAUAGAGAUCGGGGAAGAGAGCGUCCGCACGGGCUGCGGGGGUCUCUCUGUGGACGGGGACCCCCCACAGGCUACACUGGAAAUAGACCUCACCCGCAUUUUGGAGUGGUGGCUGGGAGCCGGAGGGGGACGACUCAGGGUUAGGCUCAUACCCGAGAGGCGAGCACAAGUCCCGGGAAGAGAGGAGAAGUACUCGGCCGCGAUCCGAGCGGCUGAUCCCCGCCUCUUCCUCCAGAUCGCUUCCCGUGGUACGCCGCAGGCCGCCCACGGCACCGGCGUCCCCCGAGGCUACUGGAACUUCACCUGGACAGCAGAGGAUGAGCUCAGCUUCCCAGAGGAGACGGCAGAAGCCGAGUCCCGCUGCCAUGGCAACGGCAGGCAGGCUUGCGGAUGGCCCCCGGGAGACGGACCGGACUUCAGCUGGAGCGUGCUGCCGGCCGGGGACCUGUGGGAGUCAGAACGGACGGGUCGCGUGCGGCGCACCUGGGAUGAAGGGCAGUUCCUGUCUGUGAAUGGCUCUGUCCUGGGGGGGCCCUGGGUGACCAGUCCUUGGCUGCGGGGGGGCCGCUGGCGCUGCAGCUUGGACAUGUCCAUCUUCCUCCACCCCCAGCAGAGUGGACGCUACACGGUGUGGCUAAUUGAGCGAGACAAGAAGCCCAGCGUCCUGCUCACCACGGACACGCCGCGCAGCCCGGGCUGGGUGAUUCUGCGGCUCACUGUGGGAGCUCGCAUGGACCCCUUCCGGAUCUCGUCCGGCUACAGCCAACCGAGCGAUGCAGGAACUGCGGCCUUCGAUCCCGACUUCACCACCAACUGCACCCUGGCCUCGUCUCCCACGCCCAACAUCACCCUCCAGGGUUGGUACCGCUGUCACCAGGGACCUCUGAUCGCCAUGGGACGCAUGUGCGAUUUCCGGAUGGACUGUCCCCAUGGCGACGACGAAGGACACAUGUGCAGUCAUUUUAUCAGCGGCAGCUACUGCUCGUUUGAGGCCGGCGACUGUGGAUGGCAGUCCGUCUCCCCGCGGGGCCCAUCCUGGAAGCUCCAGGCCUCCGAGCCAGGAGCCCCCGCCACGAGCUGUCAGCCCCGAGGGACGGUCAUGGCUGCAAGAGGCGGUCAGUCUAAAGGCCAGCAGGGGGCAGCGUUGCUCAGGAGCCCUCUUUUUCCGCCACCUCUCAGGAACUCCCUAUGCGUGGUCCGUUUCUGGAUGUGUUCCGGAGGCCUCCACAGGGGGGCGCUGUCUGUUUGGGUGGUAGAGAAUGGCACAGGGCCCGACAUACGGCGGAGCCUUUGGGACUCGGCUGCCGAGGCCCAUGCAGGACCAGGCGGGAGGCUGGUCGUCAUCCCGCUGUACGGGCUAGCGGACUGGUUCUGGCUGCAGUUCAGCGCCGAGGAACUCUCAGGUCCUGGGUCGGUCCUCUGCCUGGACAACAUCUCCCUCAGUCUGGACUGCUUCCUGGCCUCCAAUGGAGAGUUUCCUCCAGUUGUUCCCAUGGUGAACAUCACCAUACCCGAACCGACAAACCGGACUAUGAGGGUCACGCCUUCAGCCACUGGGGAUCUGCCUUCAACGACUCUUAUACCGCCCCCAAGUGACGCCAAGUGGACCUUCCACACCUGUGGAGCCACUGGGCCUGUAGGUCCCACCCCCACUCAGUGUAGCAAUUCCUAUCGGAACACCAACAUCAACAUCACCGUGGGAACCAAGGGGAUGCUGAAGGGCAUGCAGAUGUGGAAGGUUCCAGAGACGGGAACCUACAGGAUCACGGGCUACGGGGCCGCGGGUGGCCGCAGUGUGGUGACCACAGCCAGGUCGCACGGGGUCUACGUCACCGCAGACUUCCAUCUGCAGCAGGACCAGCUGCUCUACAUCCUGGUGGGACAGCAGGGGGAGGACGCCUGUCCGAACUCCAACCACACGCUCAACAGGGUGUGUUUAGAGCAGACAUUGCCCAUCGAUAGCAAGACCAGAGCAAAACUGCCAGGAGGUGGAGGCGGAGGAGGUGGAGGCGGAGCCACGUACAUUUUUAAGAUGAAAAAAGGGGUUCCAGUGCCCCUGCUCAUAGCGGCUGGCGGUGGGGGGCGUGGCUACAGCAGCCAAUCAGAGAGCCAGGAGGAGCUGCUGGACAUAGACCCCAGUGUAUUCGGGCUCAAUGGACGCUCAGGAGCCGCAGGUGGCGGUGGGGGCUGGAAUGACAGUAUGCCAGUGGCGACACAGGGUGGUAGGCCUCUCCUGUUGGGGGGCCAGGGGGGCACGUCCUGUCGGUUUGGCUGGCAGACACGAGGGGGCUUCGGAGGAGGGGGUGGAGCCUGCUCCUCUGGUGGAGGAGGAGGGGGCUACAGAGGAGGCGGCACCGCUCAGGACGACAACCCGAGCCACGACGGGAAGGAUGGCUCAUCUUUUGUCAGUCCCAUCGGAGAGACCUUCAUCGAGCCUCUGAAAGGGAUCGAGGGUCACGGGGAGGUCGUUAUCUCGCCCGUGCUGAACUGUAGCCACUGCGAGACCGGCGAUUGCCAUGAGAGCGGCGAUGAUGUCGUGUGCUUCUGCGAGGAGGACCUUGAGCUGGCCGCUGACGGGGUGUCCUGUGUCAACACCACAGAUAAUUCAGUGCUGCACCCCCAGCUGGCCCUGGGGCUCUCGGUGGGCACCUCUGCCCUCAUCGCUGCCCUGCUUCUGGCUGUAUCAGGCGUCAUGAUCAUGUACAGACGCAAGCAUACAGAGCUGCAGUCCAUCCAGCUGGAGCUGCAGAGUCCCGACUGCAAACUCAGCAAGCUGAGGGCCUCCACCAUCAUGACCGACUACAACCCCAACUACUGUUUCGCUGGCAAGACGGCAUCCGUCAACGACCUGAAGGAGAUUCCACGCCGCAACAUCUCGCUCACCAGGGGUUUGGGCCACGGUGCGUUUGGAGAGGUGUAUGAGGGUCUUGCAGUAGGGAUACCUGGAGAGCCAAGCCCAAUGCAGGUGGCCGUAAAGACCCUUCCUGAGGUUUGCUCUGAGCAGGACGAGUUAGACUUCCUCAUGGAGGCUCUGAUCAUCAGUAAGUUCAACCACCAGAACAUCGUGUGCUGCAUUGGCGUCAGUCUGCAAGCCCUGCCGCGUUUCAUUCUGCUGGAGCUCAUGGCAGGAGGAGACCUAAAGAGCUUCCUCAGAGAGACCCGACCAAGAGUGGACCAGCCCUCCAGCCUGAACAUGGUGGACCUGCUGAACGUGGCCCGAGACAUAGCUCGGGGCUGCCAGUACUUGGAGGAGAACCAGUUCAUCCACAGGGAUAUAGCGGCCCGUAACUGCCUGCUGACGUGCAAAGGGCCGGGAAGAGUGGCCAAGAUCGGAGACUUUGGGAUGGCCAGAGAUAUAUACAGGGCGAGUUACUACAGGAAGGGUGGCAGGGCGAUGCUGCCCGUCAAGUGGAUGCCCCCUGAAGCCUUCAUGGAGGGAAUUUUCACCUCCAAGACGGACACCUGGUCCUUCGGCGUGCUGCUCUGGGAGAUCUUCUCCCUGGGCUACAUGCCGUACCCCAGUCGCAGCAACCAGGAGGUGCUGGAAUUCGUCACCAAUGGGGGCAGGAUGGACCCCCCUAAGAACUGCCCCGGGCCCGUGUGAGUGCAUGUUCCAUUGCCGCUGUGGUUCAGGUUGAGACAUCGCCUCCUACAGUCUGUCGCUACAAGCGCUUUGCGGCUCGCAACUGUACCAGAGUUUGUCACAUGGCACAGAAAGAAGAUGCUGAUUUAGACCCGAACCUGAAAAUGUCAGCGCAUUACCACCGACAGCAAAUUUUUAAAGCGUAACAUAUUCGGAGUUGCGCAAGGAUACAUAUUCUAACUAUUCAGACCCUGUUUUAGUGUGACUUACAAACUGUUGUUGACGUAUGUGUUCACCCAAAAUGGUGACCUAAACACCGAAAUGUAAAAUGGCCGGUAUACAUCAGUGUGUCCUGUAUGCAUUCUGACACUGAAUUGUGCAUGUGCACCCAUGCAGUUACAGAAUAAUGACACAGAGCUGGCAGCAUCAACCAGAGGACAGACCGAACUUCUCCACCAUCCUGGAGAGGAUCGACUAUUGCUUACAGGACCCGGAUGUGGUGUCC